UAGGGGAGCCGAAGGGAAACCGAGUCUUAACUGGGCGUUAAGUUGCAGGGUAUAGACCCGAAACCCGGUGAUCUAGCCAUGGGCAGGUUGAAGGUUGGGUAACACUAACUGGAGGACCGAACCGACUAAUGUUGAAAAAUUAGCGGAUGACUUGUGGCUGGGGGUGAAAGGCCAAUCAAACCGGGAGAUAGCUGGUUCUCCCCGAAAGCUAUUUAGGUAGCGCCUCGUGAAUUCAUCUUCGGGGGUAGAGCACUGUUUCGGCUAGGGGGUCAUCCCGACUUACCAACCCGAUGCAAACUGCGAAUACCGAAGAAUGUUAUCACGGGAGACACACGGCGGGUGCUAACGUCCGUCGUGAAGAGGGAAACAACCCAGACCGCCAGCUAAGGUCCCAAAGUCAUGGUUAAGUGGGAAACGAUGUGGGAAGGCACAGACAGCCAGGAUGUUGGCUUAGAAGCAGCCAUCAUUUAAAGAAAGCGUAAUAGCUCACUGGUCGAGUCGGCCUGCGCGGAAGAUGUAACGGGGCUAAACCAUGCACCGAAGCUGCGGCAGCGACACUAUGUGUUGUUGGGUAGGGGAGCGUUCUGUAAGCCGUUGAAGGUGUGUCGUGAGGCAUGCUGGAGGUAUCAGAAGUGCGAAUGCUGACAUAAGUAACGAUAAUGCGGGUGAAAAACCCGCACGCCGGAAGACCAAGGGUUCCUGUCCAACGUUAAUCGGGGCAGGGUGAGUCGACCCCUAAGGCGAGGCCGAAAGGCGUAGUCGAUGGGAAACAGGUUAAUAUUCCUGUACUUGGUGUUACUGCGAAGGGGGGACGGAGAAGGCUAUGUUAGCCGGGCGACGGUUGUCCCGGUUUAAGCAUGUAGGCGGAGGUUCCAGGUAAAUCCGGUACCUUUUAACGCUGAGGUGUGAUGACGAGGCACUACGGUGCUGAAGUAACAAAUGCCCUGCUUCCAGGAAAAGCCUCUAAGCAUCAGGUAACACGAAAUCGUACCCCAAACCGACACAGGUGGUCAGGUAGAGAAUACCAAGGCGCUUGAGAGAACUCGGGUGAAGGAACUAGGCAAAAUGGUGCCGUAACUUCGGGAGAAGGCACGCUGAUAUGUAGGUGAAGUGAUUUACUCAUGGAGCUGAAAUCAGUCGAAGAUACCAGCUGGCUGCAACUGUUUAUUAAAAACACAGCACUGUGCAAACACGAAAGUGGACGUAUACGGUGUGACGCCUGCCCGGUGCCGGAAGGUUAAUUGAUGGGGUUAUCCGUAAGGAGAAGCUCUUGAUCGAAGCCCCGGUAAACGGCGGCCGUAACUAUAACGGUCCUAAGGUAGCGAAAUUCCU
rnacentral:rRNA from 1 species